GGAAACUGACUAGCCCGAAGUAAUUGCCCACAUCUACAUGUGGCAGAGAAGCGCAAUUCUGAGACAAACUCCUUAGUUGGAAUUAACAGUUAAACCUCAUGGAAUUAACUGUUAAUUCGAACUAAGGGGUUUAUCUCAGAAUCGCGCUUCUCUGUCGCAUGUAGACGCAGGCAGUUACUUCGGGCUAGUCAGUUUCC
rnacentral:pre_miRNA from 1 species